UGCAAGAGAUGCCGAAUUAAUCGGAGCGUUUUCGUGGAAUAGCUACGCGCGACCAUUCCACGAAAAUAUCAGUUCACGACGUCGUUGUUCGUACGGUGGCGGGAAAAAAUUUGGGGGAAAGGGAGGGAAGGGCGCUUCGUUUGCGGCCCGCGUUCGAACUACGAGCAAAAUGGCGAAAAAUUUCGUGUCUUUCGUUUGGUGAUCAGUGAGAGUUAAUCAAUCGGAAAUUAUUCGUUUAAAAUUUAAAAUAUACAAGUUGUAUAUACACAGUUUUCCCAAUUUGCGACCCAAUUACAAAAGUUUCUUGCAAAAGUGAAAUGCUAGUAAUAAAGUUUUGGAAAGUUGUACAAACUAACCACAAAUUCUUUUGCGCGGGAGAAUGGAAUUACUUUUGAAAUCACUUUUCAAUUGCAUAAAAAGUAAUUGGAUAAUCUAUAAUAACCGACAAAAAAAGAAGAAUGAAGAUAAAGCAACGAUGAGUGAAGGAAAAAAAAUAAAAGAUGUAUCUUUUGUAAUCCAAGGAACAAUUUAAAUUCAUAUACAUUAUCUAUUUCUAUUAUAUUCUCAUAUUUUACAUGCACAUUUAUAAAUCCAUUUACCUUUUGCGCAAUCUCUUGUUUCAAAGGGAAGAAGAGAGUCUUCUUUUGGAAAGAAGGCAAAGGGGGAGAAAAAUCCGAACGAAAACGGAAGCGAUUAAUUCUCCUCUGAAUCGAGACGCGUCAAGAAACGAAAGAGAAAAAGGCCGCGAGUCUAACGCGGGAUAAUCACUAUGAUUGCUUAAUUAGCUGUGGCCAGUGGGGCAAAGUGAGUGCACAGAGAGCGAACAGAAUCAUCCCUUGCUCCGGUUAGGAACUACGGCUGGCUAGUCGUCCUAACCAGGCGAGCAAGUCCAAGGUUGUCGAGGCUCUGAUGCAACGCGAGCCGUCAUCAUCAUCGGCAAAGUGGGAGGCGGAUGGAGGUGGAACGGCGGUGGGGCAUCAUACGCGCUCACCGGAGAAGCAAUUGGAGCUGUGGCGAGGAGAGGAAUCGAAUUUUCGAGCCUUAAACGGAGGAAACUUUGAAAUUUUGCGAAUGGAAACGAUCAUCACCUAUUGCGCCCUUUGAAUUGCGAAAAGUUGUGAAAUUUGGAAAAUGGAAAACGAUGGAGGAAAUUUUGAGAUAUAAAGAGAGAGAGAGAGAGACUUGCAAGUUUGAUAAAUUAUCAAAAUGUGAAUAUGAAUUUAGAAAUCGUGAUAAUAAGUUCUAAAGAAAAUUGAACAAGAAAAAAAAAACUUGCAAGUUUUAUCGUAAAUGCAACAAACUGUGUGUGGUUACAAAGUACUUCGAAAAAUUAAAAUUAGAAGAGCGAAUUGUUUUAUUUGGAACAGCAAAUGUUGCAUUUUGUGAGGAAGGAAAUUUGAAUUUUUAUAAUCUUAAUAACUGUGAUGAGAAGAGGAGGAGAUAAAAAUGGCGGAAGUGAGAGAAAGUAAUAAAAGACGAGUAGCGAGCAACUUAAGAGAGAUUAUCCUCCAAGAUUGUUUUAUCAUACGUCUACGGCACAUUAAAUGAUGAUCUCAAGUUUUUCGAGCUGCUCACGUGUAACGCGCGACACUUAAUCGGUCGAUGACGUCUAUUACAUGGAAACAUGGGUUGGUUCUUAAUCGAUUAAGACUAAGAUGGCAACUAAUAUGCGACAGAAAUGAUUGAUGUACUCGAUGGCAAUCGUUUUGCCAUUUUUUUUUUCGUACAAACUUUUUUGAAUCCAAUUAAAUGUAAGAGAGAGAGAGAGAAAAAAA